rnacentral:rRNA from 1 species
CAGUAGCCGCGGUAAUACGUAGGGUGCAAGCGUUAAUCGGAAUUACUGGGCGUAAAGCGUGCGCAGGCGGUUAUAUAAGUCAGAUGUGAAAUCCCCGGGCUCAACCUGGGAACAGCAUCUGAGACUGUAUGGCUAGAGUGUGUCAGAGGGGGGUAGAAUUCCACGUGUAGCAGUGAAAUGCGUAGAUAUGUGGAGGAAUACCGAUGGCGAAGGCAGCCCCCUGGGAUAACACUGACGCUCAUGCACGAAAGCGUGGGGAGCAAACAAGAUUAGAUACCCCCGUAGUCCCUGUCUCUUAUAC